rnacentral:rRNA from 1 species
ACCCUCCAAACAAAUAGAUUGUCCCGAGGGCGCCAUAUUCUAGGAGCCCAAGUUAUGCUAUUGAAAAUUCGUCCCUCUAGCAGUUUCGGUUUGAGCAUUCCAUUCCCUUUUUCAAACUCCACUUAUUUCCAUAUGGCAUCCCAGAUCAAAGAGAGAGCACUAUCCAUUGCAUUUCAUAGCCACUUUUCAUCCUAG